GUCAUAUUCUAAUUUUUGAAUUUGGCUUAUUUUCACUCAUUUCCAGAAACCGUAUAAGAUAUCGACAUAUUAUUUUUUCUAAAUUGUUAGUUGCAACAUGUCGUAACACGUAAAUUUUGAUUGCAAAGGUACGUUGAACGUAAAAGGGAGUUUUCUCCCCUCUUGUAUUUAAAAAUAUGCGUAUGGUGAUAUAACUCAUUAACCAAAUAUAAUUAAGACCUAUGGUCUUUUGAUUUGAGGUCCUUGGUUUAUGACCUUGAAAUUGAUCUCAAGGUCAUAGCCUAAUUUGACGUUCUAGAUUUUGACCUUUGCUUUUACCUCAUAUGUAUACAUGAUAAAGCCA
rnacentral:lncRNA from 1 species